rnacentral:rRNA from 1 species
GACGAACGCUGGCGGCGUGCCUAAUACAUGCAAGUCGAGCGGACGAAUCGAAAGCUUGCUUUUGAUUCGUUAGCGGCGGACGGGUGAGUAACACGUGGGCAACCUGCCCUGUAGACGGGGAUAACACCGAGAAAUCGGUGCUAAUACCGGAUAACACGAAAUGUCGCAUGACGUUUCGUUGAAAGACGGCGCAAGCUGCCGCUACAGGAUGGGCCCGCGGCGCAAUAGCUAGUUGGUGAGGUAACGGCUCACCAAGGCGACGAUACGUAGCCGACCUGAGAGGGUGAUCGGCCACACUGGGACUGAGACACGGCCCAGACUCCUACGGGAGGCAGCAGUAGGGAAUCUUCCGCAAUGGACGAAAGUCUGACGGAGCAACGCCGCGUGAGCGAAGAAGGCCGUCGGGUCGUAAAGCUCUGUUGUUAGGGAAGAACAAGUAACGCAGUAACUGGCGUUACCGUGACGGUACCUAACGAGAAAGCCACGGCUAACUACGUG